rnacentral:rRNA from 1 species
GUCUACAGCCAUGCUACCCUGAACAAGCCUGAUCCUGUCUAAUCUUGGAAGCUAAGCAGGAUCGAGCCUGGUUAGUACUUGGAUGGGAGACCACCUAGGAAAACCAGGUGCUGUAGGCG